UCUAGCAACGAGAAAGGAAAAAGCUUCAAUUUAAUCACAUAAUUAUCCACAUAUUUCUUCUUCUGCAUAUCGUAAAGCUCAAUGAAGGUAUUGAGAUGGGAUGCGGCAUCUUCACUAGGAAGGCCGGAGAAUUGCUCUUUCAUAACAAGAUUCAGCAAAGCGGCAUUGAUUUCGUAUGAGUCCGCACUAGUGGCGGGAGCAAUCGGAGUACUAAUAAAAUCAUUAUUAUUAGUAUUCGAGAAGUCACAAAGUUUGGUGUUUUCAGUCAUGGUGACUUCGGCAAGCAAGCAAGCACAAAGCGAACAAAGAGCAAGCGAGAAAAAGGGCGAACGAAA
rnacentral:lncRNA from 1 species